CCCCUAUAUUUACGCAAUCUGCCACUCUACUCUCUCACUCACUCUCAUCCAUGGCCUCUCUGCAAACUCACCCAAAUUAUCUUCAAUUCUGUCGCUGUUCUAGCUCUGCCUCCAAAAUUCCCUAUCUUCCGAACCCCAAUUCGAUUCCACUUUCCCGGAAUCUUUUAUUUUCCGGGAAAACUAGGGUAUUGAGUUCAAGUUUUGGAGGCAAAGAUGGAUUGUGCUCUGUCUGCUGCUUCUGCAAGAGGAACUCGGAGGUUGAGAAUGUUUCAAUUCAGGUUCAGGAGAAGACCGAGAGGCCUCCUUUCGACAUCAAUCUCGCCGUCAUUCUUGCGGGUUUCGCUUUUGAAGCCUACACAACCCCACCAAAAAUCAUAGGAAAGCGUGAGGUCGAUGCAGCGAAUUGCAAGACAGUGUUUCUUUCGCAGUCAUUUCUGUGUGAGAUCUAUGAUGGCCAGUUGUUCAUAAAGCUGAAGAAAGGUCUUAAUUUGCCUGCCAUGGAUCCAUGGGGAACAAGUGAUCCAUAUGUGGUCUUCCAACUGGAUAGUCAGGUUGUCAAAAGCACGGUUAAAUGGGGGAAAAAGGAACCAACCUGGAACGAGGAGUUCACUUUAAAUAUCAAGCUACCCGCAACAAAAAAUCUUCAGGUUGCAGCUUGGGAUGCAAAUCUCGUUACUCCACAUAAACGUAUGGGGAAUGGUAGCAUUAGUUUGGAAUACCUCUGUGAUGGAGAUUUGCAUGAAGUGCUGGUUGAAUUGGAAGGAAUGGGAGGUGGUGGAAAGAUACAGCUAGAGGUUAAGUAUAAGAGUUUUGAUGAAAUUGAUGCUGAGAGUAAGUGGUGGAGGAUCCCCAUUGUUACAGAAUUUCUUCGGAGAAAUGGUUUUGAGUCUGCUUUGAAAAUGAUUGCUGGCUCAGAGACCGUGCAAGCACGCCAGUUUGUGCAAUAUGCCUUUGGACAGAUAAAGUCGCUAAAUAAUGCUUACCUGCAGAAGGAUUGGGUUUUAAAACUUGGUAGGUCUGACACUGAAGACAUUGAGGAUUCUAGCAAUCCUGUUGUUGAGUCAGAUAUGCCACCACAGGAGGAGUCCAAUCCAGAGUGCUCUACAAAUGAACCAAACUACGAGGAAGACAUCAAUCUACUGGAGUCUACCAUGGAUAAUGGUGAUACAGGGAAUGGACAAACGUCUUCGUCAGUGACACAAGUUGAUGAUGCCUCACAGUCAGAUAAACAUUUUUGGAAGAAUUUCUCUGAUCUUAUCAAUCAAAAUGUUGUUCAGAAACUUGGUCUCUCUCCUCCUGAGAAAAUAAAGUGGGAUGGAUUGGACUUGUUAAACAGAAUUGGCUUACAGUCACAAAAGAUUGCGGAAGCAGGUUAUAUUGAAGAUGGGCUUGCUACUCCUGAAGGUCAGGAAGCUGCUAACAAUGAUGGAACAACAACUGAAACAUUGACUCUUGGCAAUAUUCAGUAUUCGGUGACAGAUAUUAAGAAGGUUACCCAAGAUUUAUUACGGCAAACCGAUUCCAUUCUGGGAGCACUAAUGGUUCUAAAUGCUACAGUUUCACAAUUAAACAAAGAAGGACGUCUCUUUGGAAAGGGCGAAAGAGCAGAAGAUGCCUCCACCGAAAUGGUAGAUGAUGUCUCUCAAUCUUUAAGCCCCUCAGAUGGAUCGGAAUUGGAUGAAAGGAAAGCUGAGGAGAUGAGGGAACUCUUUUCAACUGCAGAGAGUGCCAUGGAGGCUUGGUCAAUGCUUGCUACUUCUUUGGGCCAUUCAAGUUUCAUAAAAUCAGAAUUUGAGAAAAUAUGUUUCUUAGAUAACCCAUCCACUGAUACACAGGUGGCAAUUUGGCGUGAUUCAGUGCGGAAAAGAUUGGUUGUUGCUUUUAGGGGCACAGAACAAACUAGAUGGAAGGAUUUGCAAACUGAUUUAAUGCUAGCUCCUUCAGGGCUGAAUCCUGAGAGGAUAGGUGGCAAUUUCAGGCAAGAAGUUCAAGUUCAUAGUGGCUUUUUAAGUGCGUAUGAUUCAGUCAGGACAAGGAUCCUCUCUCUCAUUAAACAGGCAGUGGAGUACAUAGAUAAUGGCGCCGAGCCACAACACAAAUGGCAUAUUUACAUCACGGGUCAUAGUUUAGGUGGUGCAUUAGCAACCCUCCUAGCCCUUGAACUUUCAUCAAGCCAAUUAGCCAAGCGUGGGGCAGUUUCUGUGACCAUGUAUAACUUCGGAUCUCCCAGAGUGGGAAACAAAAAAUUUGCAGAAGUUUACAACGAGAAAGUCAAAGAUAGCUGGAGAGUUGUAAAUCAUAGAGACAUUAUACCUACGGUUCCACGCUUGAUGGGUUAUUGUCAUGUAGCUCAACCUGUUUAUCUAGCUACUGGAGAUUUAAAAAUUGCCAUGGAAAAUAUGGAGCUUUUGGGAGAUGGCUACCAAGGUGAUGUUCUUGGGGAGUCUACACCUGAUGUUCUUGUCAGUGAAUUUCAUCAUAUUGCAAUGAUAUUUGUUUCCUUGAAGAGACACUGUGCCUUUGAUGUCCACCAGCCAAAGCUAACAACAUUUUGUACUGUUGUACCUUCAAAAGUGAUAUCCAAACAUUUUCUCCAUGUCGCUUGGUCAAGAUCCACUCUAUCAGUCGCGUGUUUUUCUUCCGCUCUAAUGACAUUCUUUUUUCUAAUUAUGCACGUAUAAAUGUCACUAUUCUAAUUGCUGAACUUGUUUUUGGUGGACAUGCUUUACAGAUGAAAGGUGAGAAAGAACUCAUCGAAAAAAUAUUAAAUACAGAGAUAAACAUUUUUCUUUCAAUCCGAGAUGGGAGUGGCCUUAUGCAGCAUAUGGAGGAUUUUUAUUACAUUUCACUGCUUGAGUAUGUGAGAUCAAAUUAUCAAAUU